rnacentral:lncRNA from 1 species
CGGCACAGCUUUGAAGGAGAAACCCGGGCUGGGGGAAGCAGAGGAAGAGGGGCCACUCACUUGAUGAAGAAGACCCUCCCGCCGCCGUCCACCCCGUAGGUCCACCGGCCCGGCAGGUCCAGCCAGUCGAUCUCCUCGGCCAUCUCCGCGCCCCCGGGCGCCGGGCUGGCAGCGGCUCCGAGGCUCGCGCGCCCUCCGGGCCCGGCGGUGACCGUGGCCUCCGCGGAAGCGAGUUGGCCCAGUCGGCGGCCCGGCGAGCGCCGCGCAGACACCGCCGCCCUCCGGAGCGCUCCGGGCCGCUCCCGAACUUUAAUGACCGGCAAUUAGCGCGGGGCGUAAUUACGCGGGGCGCUCGGCCGCCGCGUCCGUCGGAGCCGGGCGCCCCAGGAGCGCAAGUCGCCGCCGCCUCUCGGAUCCCACACUGGCGGGCGGCGGGGCGGGGCAGGGCCGCGCCCGGGAAGGUAACCGGGGCCGGGAGCCCGCGAGAGCCUGAGUCACGGCCGAGGGGCACGGCCGGCCUCCCGGGGACAGGGCAGCGGCGCCCGAGCGGUACAAAGGUCAGGCGCUCGCUCCGGAGGGGGAGGCAGGGGAGGCCUGACUGCCAGCAGCUUCCCGCUGAGACGCCCAGCUCGCUAGUUAGGCCGGUCCUCGCCUCUCCUUCCGAGCACCUCCUCCAGGAAGCCCGCCGUGACUCCCUAGAGUCAGGGAAGCCCUAGGGACAAUUCAGAAACCAGCGCUGCGUCUCUCCAUCCUGUCCCCUAACACACCAGCAGUGGAGAGAAAUGAACUGUGCCGAUGCCUUCAGGCUGAUUCCUGGCUGCCAGGAGUAAGCUGACUCCAUUCCCCACAUGCAGAAGAGAAAGCUGAAGCCCAGAAUACCCCCGCUGCAUCCUCCCUGCUCAGCUCCCACAAACUCCACAUAGAAAGCGGCAUUGGAUGAUAGUUACCGAGUCCUGGUGCAUUCAGGCACCGUCCUUAAGUACAGGAGCCUCGGGAUGGAAUGAAACAGAAUCUCCUUGCUCUCAUGAAGUCUUUGGAGAAAAGGGGAAAGAAUAAAGGGAACACAAGGAGAGCAGCAGCGCCGCUGUCUUAUGCU